rnacentral:lncRNA from 12 species
GGAUAUGAUCCAAGGAAUGAUGUAAUUUUUGUAUGAAUAAACUCCUAGUGAUUGUACCUCCAUGGUCAUUUUGUCUUACAGUCGAAUUUUACGUAUAUAUUGUUCUAGCCAACAGAUCUCAGGGAGUUCCUUUUCUACCCAAACUAUCAGAUGUAAUUUAGCAGUAAAGAAAGAGUUGGCUCACGUGUAACAAGUACUCAUGUGCGAUUAUGGAGUUUUCUUCUCUAUUUCAAAAAGAAAGGUGGAGAAAUGGAGAACAGGAUAAAGGCCUGGAAUCCCUGCUCCAGAAAGACAAGCAUUUCUGAGGAAAACUGUACAUGUUAGUUGGAAUCAGUCGGAUAUUUCUAUAAUCAAAAACAGUCCAUGUUGGUUUGAGGACGGUCAUGACUAGUACUGCAUCUGUACAACUGGAAAUACCAGUGCACCACAUUUUUCUCCCAUGAUGCUUCCAAAUCUCUCUAAACAGUUAGCUGAUAGCUGUGAUUGGCCAUUGAGAAGAGGGAGGAGUAAUGACUUCAAUGACCCCAGAAGAUUCCAGAGCAGAGAACAGCAGCAGUCUGGCUUUGUUCUUUGGUACCAAGUGCCCCCGUCAACCACUGCAGUAAGUACUCGUCUGCCUUUGGGCCCUAUUAGCCCACACAGUAAACCCCGCUGGAAAGUAGGGCUGAGCUGUGAGUGCUAUUGGUACUGUCUCCAUUCUAUGCUGGUUCUUUUAGACUUUGUGUUUCUAUGGGGUCUACUCGUUGGUUUCCACUUUGAUUUCUCCAAUAUUGAAGAUAUAUUAUAUUGGCUUCUCUCCAGCUCUCAGAAUGCUCUCUUCUUUAGUUCUAUUCCUAUGAUCACUUGCUGUCCACUUGGCCAGCUACCCAUAUUGUCAUGA